CACGAAGCUGGAAUCGCUAGUAAUCGCGAAUCAGAAUGUCGCGGUGAAUACGUUCCCGGGUCUUGUACACACCGCCCGUCACACCAUGGGAGUCGGGAAUGCCCGAAGUCAGUGACCCAACCAUAUGGAGGGAGCUGCCGAAGGCAGGUCUGAUAACUGGGGUGAAGUCGUAACAAGGUACC
rnacentral:rRNA from 1 species